rnacentral:rRNA from 1 species
UAGGACGAACGCUGGCGGCGUGCCUAACACAUGCAAGUCGAGCGGGACAUACGACGGAGUCAAAGUUUCGGAUGGAGACGAAGAUGUAUGUUCUAGCGGCGGACGGGUGAGUAACGCGUGAGCAACCUGUCCCUUACAGGGGGAUAACACAGCGAAAGUUGUACUAAUACCGCAUGAGACCACGGGAGGACAUCCUCCAGGGGUCAAAGGAGCAAUCCGGUAAGGGGUGGGCUCGCGUCCGAUUAGAUAGUUGGUGAGGUAACGGCCCACCAAGUCGACGAUCGGUAGCCGACCUGAGAGGGUGAUCGGCCACAUUGGGACUGAGACACGGCCCAAACUCCUACGGGAGGCAGCAGUGGGGAAUAUUGGGCAAUGGGGGAAACCCUGACCCAGCAACGCCGCGUGAGGGAAGAAGGUUUUCGGAUCGUAAACCUCUGUCCUUGGUGAAGAGUGAGAGACGGUAGCCAAGGAGGAAGCCCCGGCUAACUACGUGCCAGCAGCAGC